CAUGAUAAACAUUUGUGGAGGAGAAACUUAGACAAUUCUGCUUGCACUUUUCACUGCCCCUCAUAGGGUUAGCAGCUGGCAAGGCCACAAGCAAGUCAGGAAUAUGUCCUUAUGUUGAAAGGGAAUAAAACGUUGAUGCUUCUGGAAAAUGGAGUUGUAGGACAUGCCCUCAACCAUGAGCCUUCCAGUUGAGUCCCUUUUUGAAGGAGCAGAGCUGCCUUCCAGGAGGAUUGUCCUCCAGCCCUGGAGGGAAAUGGGAGAUGAGAGGCAAGUUGUAGCAGAUGGAAAAGCCAAAUCUUGUGUGUGGACAGCAGUGUUAUGGAAAUGUGGGUGAAACGGCAGGUGGGAGAAGGUUAAUAAGCAGUGAGAGAUAAAGGAAGAAGAAAUCAAAGUAUAGAGAAACCUCUUAUCUAUCUCUUUCAGUCCUUUGGUUUAGAGUUGCUAGCUCUGGUUGGCCUCCCACUUUCUUUCAAACCUAUUCAUAGCGAUUUAUUUAACACUUCUGUUUGCUUUAAAAACUGAAAGUACAUCAAGGCUAAAUAUAAGCAUAUCUCCAGCUCUUUGUUCUCUCUUACAAAGGCUGUAGCUAAGAUUCUUCGCUACCUUGCACCUUGAGAUACUAAUUACACGUGUCAAACUAAGUGUGGACUGCUCCCACCAACAUCAGAGGAUUUUGUUUGAUGUCUUACACCUUCCCUCCGCAGACUGAAAUCACUGCCAGAGGUGCAAGACUGACUAAUACUUACCUGUUUAUAUUGAUGGAAAGCUCUCUGAUUAAAGCACAGCAUAGAAACAGUGCACUUGGGAUACACUUCUUGCUUUGGACAUGCUGCUUUUAUUAAUUUAGGCAAGGUCAGAGAGCCACUCGUCGGCACAGGCUCCCAGCAGAGCAGGAGAUAGCUGACGUGGAAGCCACUCUGAGCUGUGCGGGGGCACGGAGGAUGCUUGAAAGGGAAGUUCUAACAGGAAAGAAGAAAGCUGGAAGGACCCAAAGGUUUAAGGCAUAACCCUUUGGAAACUAGAGUUCCUUGUGCUGAAGGAAUCAUCACCUGCUUCUUUUUCACCGCACAUCUGGACUGAAUUAGGCAGAAAUAAGAAUAAUGUCAAACAAAUUUUCUGAUUGCUGGGUAUUGUUUCUCCUGGAACAUGAUGGAUUCCUCCGAGGUUUUCUGUGCUCAGACUCACUCUAACUGCCACACAGAAGCCCAUCCUGCAUCAGAUGUUAUUUCUAUUAACACUGAAGAAUGGACAUUUCAUUUGACCUCUUUUUUUGAUUUUAGCUUUAAUAUUUAGCUUAAUUUUAACUUCAGGUUUGAUAUUCAGUUUAACUUCAAAGCAAACUGCUUUUGUAACACUCCUUUCUUGUAUGGCUGUGAGAUUGUUUGAAAUUCAAUUUCAUAAGUUCAGACAUAUUUGCAAACAAUUAUUUUCAGUGUCUUGCUGUUGCAUUCAAAUUGCUUAGUACAACUGAUUCUCAGUUUCUUUAGAAUCAGAUCACUUCUGCUCAGAGGUGAAGCCUCAUCAGACUUCACAAAACAAUAUAAAAGGGAAUUGUCUGAAAUGAUAUGAUUAGAGAUGUGUAAAACUGCUUGUGGAAACACAGGUGCUUGACAAGCCGUUAAUGAGAUCAUUAAAAAUACACAAAAAUUCAAUUUCAUCUGAGAAUAAGAGACUUGUUGUAAAAUGCUUAAAAUAUAUUAAAAACCUGUAACAAAGUUUGAGAGUGUACAGCGAAUUUUACUUCCUAAUGUGGAGCAUUGACCAUCACACUAGAGAAAGAAAAAUAUUGAUGCUUAAAUCAAGUUGAAUGGCAGGCUGUAGCUUCUCCCAUCCAUGGAGAUAUUGCAUGUGUAAAUUGUGCAAGUCUUUGCAAUGGAAGUACACAAAAAUCCCCUUAGGGAUACAGUGGUGCGGGGACUGCAGGUCUGCUCAUACCCAAAGGUACAGCAGUGGUAAAAAUACAGUUUUAACCAAUGUAUUUAAAUAAUUUUAUCAUGGAAUUUUAUUAUUAAAAAUUAAGAGGAAUCCCAUCAAGUUUAAACCAGCUGGAGAUUGGAGCCUGGCAAAGAGGUUUCCAUCUGCAAGGACAAAUUUUAAAAUGUGACUUAUGAAUCUCUCUUGUGCCCAAACUGGACAGCCCUGUUGAAUCCAUGAGGAACCACAUCACCUUGAACUGUUGAAGGAAGAGUCUUGUCAAUCUGGAUAAAACUCAAACAUUUUAUCAAGGUGCUGGCUCUGCAUCGGAUGCCCCACAAGUGUGGUGGGAUGAGUAUGUUUGCAUCUGAACUGCUCUGCUAUGGAGAACAUAAACAUCCCUGACAAAAACAGUAGCUCCAGCAAUGAAAUCCUGAGUGAUGAAGCUCUCGGAGUAAGCUGUUGACCUGAUCAAACUCUGCCUGAAUACCCCAUGGAGUGCGUCAUGCCUGGGUUCUGCAGUCUCUGAUCAUCAAUGUAGCCAUAUAGGAUGAUGCUCCUUGUGCUGCGGAGAGCCAGCGAUCAGUGGUCCAUGGAGUAAAAGCUGUGGAAUGAGCUCCUGUGCACCUGGUCCCCAUCCCAAAGGGCAGCGUUCAGUCUCGGAAUACACUGUCUUUUCAUUUGACAGACAUCUUGCCAUAAUCUCUCAGCAGACUCUUGCAGCUAAUCUCUCUAUUGAUUUUUGCUUAGAAACACCUAGAGCUAUUCGAUCACUAAUAAAAUCUGAAGAGUUCAGUUUUCAAGACAUUUAACCCAUUUGGAGGCAAGGCUUAUUUAUCGUCUGAUGGGCAAUCGAAUAGCUGUGCUCAUUUCUAAGUAAAGGCAUCGUACAGGCAACAGAAAACCAAAGCAAAAUCCAGCUACACUGAGUUCUAGCCCAGAAACCAGACCCGAUUUGGGCUAUUAGUGUCCAUGCAUCUGGCUAAUUCCUUCUUUCACUGCUCUUUUGGUCUAUUUUCCCAGUUUAACUGGGGAAAACACAUACAUGUAUCUUUCUGAACCUCUGUUUCCUUAGCAGCUGACACUGCUAUCAUCAAUACCAUGUGGCAAAUCUCAGUGGACAUUGUCUGGAAGAAAAAGAAACCUUCUAAUUGCCUUUUAGUUUGCUUUCCUUAUCUCCCCUCCUGUGAUUUUUCUCUGCCCUGCUGUGGAUCCAGAUGAUGUUUUGUCCAUGGCUCCUUGCAGAUUUGCUGAGAAGAAGCCAAGGUGAGAUGAAGCUGUAGAUGCAAAGGUUGGUGUGUGGGGGAUGAGAUGUGAAGAUGGGAUUGACCGCUGGGGUCACCUUCCUGCAUCCCACACUGGCUGCCCUGGCAGCCAGCCCAGUUUGGUGCUUAUCUCUUCAGGAAAGCUGGAAAUUACCGAACAAAGGCAGAAUCAACAGGGAAAGAACACCAAGUCACCUCACUCUGGGGCAGAAGUCCUUACUGGCACAGGGAGAAGGCUAAGGUGUGUAAAUGGAAAGAAUACAGGGAGAGUUCAUGUCUUCAGGUAUUUUUUUACCUUUAAAUAAGGCCACAUUUUCAGUAAAAAAAAAAAAAAUAAUGUCUUAUUUAAUUGCAAGCCCCUCAGGACCCUUGCAAAAAAGCUGUAAUAUUUCAUUAGAUAAAUGAUAUGCCUAAAUUGAUAUCAGAUGUCUCAGUUUUCUAUUUAUUUAAAUGAUGAACGAUGGUUUAUUAUGAUUAAGAUAAUUUUCUGACUUCUUUUCUUUUAUGUUUUCUUGACAUUUAGACUAGGGGAAAAAUAAAAAAUAAAACCAGCCAUCGGUAAGUGGUUUUAUUGGUUAAAUUUUAAUGUUAUUUUUAAGCAAAUAAUGAAUUACUUUGACAAUAACUAUAGAGCCAGACAUGAUUCAUUCUUAUAAUUACUUUGACAGUCACCAUCAACCCUGUAGUUUUAGUUCAUGUGAUUAUAAAAACUUGUCUCCUUUUCCUAUAUAACAUCUUACCAAAUUGCAUCCCAUGAAAUACGAUGUACUUGCUGGGGCUUUGUGCUACAAUUCUCCUUUGCUUGGAGAUUCCUCAGAAUAAGUUUUGCGAUUCCAGAGCUGUGUGUCGACACCCAGCCCUAAGAUUCAGGCUGGAGCCAAAGCAUGGGGAAUAGUGACAAUCUAGAAUAGCUUUUGGCCUUUCUAGAUCACAGCUAAUUUUGCAGAGGAAUUAGACCACGGAAGCUUCAGAUGCAAAUCUCUCUCGGAGGAGCUGAGCACAGCCAAAGCACUUGCCCUUGUUGAGCGUAUGCCAGCAGCCCUCGAGGGGACUGAAGCAACAUUACACUCUAUUUAAUUACCGCACAUACAUUUGGCAAAAAGAAAUUACCUAGUACGUGGCAAGAGGUUUUCACAUGUGCUAGUUAAGACAGGUGAGUGAUUUCUCAAACGCUGGCCUCUAUGACAGUGAUUCAAAAUAAACAUUGCAUAGCUUUCUCUUUUCUUUUCACAAAGACUGCCUACCCAGCAAUAACGUUGAAUAUUUAAGGAAGACACGGAUAUUGGCUUGUUAUGGAAAUUGAUUGUAACUCUUUUAAAUAAUUUCCUUGGUUAACUUUGGUUUCUAGAAAAAUAUAUCCAUGUACAUUGAGGCAUUGUUACUUCUAUAGCUAUGACCUUUGCUCAUGGUCCCAGCAGGAAGAGGAGUUAUUUGAACCUUCCUGGGAGUUCCCACAACAGCUUGCAAAGUGUUUGUCAUAUUGACGUGUAGGAGAAUAAGCAUUUAUUUACUAUCAAACCGUAUAGACUUUUUUUUUAAUAAAAAAGGACUUUUUUGGCACAUCUUAAUAGU